rnacentral:ncRNA from 1 species
UUAUCGGUUGUCACACGGUGACAUUAAAAGGGAACAAUGUGCAAAUCAUUGACAGUCCCGCUACGGUAAGUUGCGCCACGUUGUGGCGAAAUGUUCUUUCCACUGGUUUCGCCGGGAAGGGAAGUACAGCUGUUUCUACAGUAAUUCAACAAGUCCGGAUACCUGCCGCACAA